rnacentral:pre_miRNA from 1 species
UGAUAUGUUUGAUAUUAAGUUGUUCUCCUGGGAAACCCAACUAAAUAUCAGACAUAUUCCGA